UACGAAGGGGGCUAGCGCUGCUCGGAAUCACUGGGCGUAAAGCGCACGUAGGCGGAUUCUUAAGUCAGGGGUGAAAUCCUGGAGCUCAACUCCAGAACUGCCUUUGAUACUGAGGGUCUUGAGUUCGGGAGAGGUGAGUGGAACUGCGAGUGUAGAGGUGAAAUUCGUAGAUAUUCGCAAGAACACCAGUGGCGAAGGCGGCUCACUGGCCCGAUACUGACGCUGAGGUGCGAAAGCGUGGGGAGCAAACAGG
rnacentral:rRNA from 1 species